rnacentral:rRNA from 1 species
AUUGAACGCUGGCGGCAUGCCUUACACAUGCAAGUCGAACGGCAGCACGGGGGCAACCCUGGUGGCGAGUGGCGAACGGGUGAGUAAUACAUCGGAACGUGCCCCGUAGCGGGGGACAACCAGUCGAAAGACUGGCUAAUACCGCAUACGCUCCACGGAGGAAAGCAGGGGAUCGCAAGACCUUGCACUAUGGGAGCGGCCGAUGCCCGAUUAGCUAGUUGGGAGACAAAGGCUCACCAAGGCAACGAUCGGUAGCUGGUCUGAGAGGACGACCAGCCACACUGGGACUGAGACACGGCCCAGACUCCUACGGGAGGCAGCAGUGGGGAAUUUUGGACAAUGGGCGCAAGCCUGACCCAGCCAUGCCGCGUGCGGGAAGAAGGCCU